rnacentral:lncRNA from 1 species
GCUUAUCACAAUACUCAUUUUUCAGAGUUUGAGUGAUCCAAACCAUAAUUGGAAAGAAAGAAUAUUCAUUUGAUUAAGUUCUUUUGAAAUGGGAAUGGUUUAUUUAGUUAACCUGAAAUACUGGUGUAUUGAAAGUUGUAACCUCUGUACUUGAGUGGAUCUCUUAAUUUACCCAUUUUAGAUGAAAAUGACUAAGUGAAAAGAACUCCAGGCUAAGCAGGAAAAAAUGAAUAAGGAGACCAGCAAUACUGCCUAGGGUAUAUUGCUGCCUACUGCAAGAUGCCAGUCUGGGACUCUGGUGCUGCCCCGUUGCUCUUACAUCAUGCUCAGGGGAGAUGUUGUGAGUGAAAUACAGUGUGCUUUCCAUUGAGACAGGGCCUUAGAAGCAACCCCUCUCCAUUUUCAAGGAAGCCACUACCAUUUGGUUCAGGUUGAUGGUCAUGAAACUUAUUUCCCAUUUCUGAUUUAAAACCUUACAACCUUAACAUUUUAUAACAUUUUUUACUAAUGGAUGUGUGCUACAGAAU